UGGGGUUUCAAAGCGGCAUUUGCCUUGGUGGCUUUCAGAACAUGCAAUGCCCUUGGAAAUCCCAAA
rnacentral:pre_miRNA from 1 species